rnacentral:rRNA from 1 species
CCCCAGGUCGGGCGGGACUACCCGCUGAGUUUAA